AGGACGAACGCUGGCGGCGUGCUUCACACAUGCAAGUCGAACGGGGCUCAUUCGGUGGUAACACCGGAGAAGGCCUAGUGGCGAACGGGUGCGUAACACGUGAAGAACCUGCCCCGAAGACUGGGAUAACAGCGGGAAACCGCUGCUAAUACCGGAUGACCCCACCAGGCCGCAUGGCCAGGUGGGGAAAUGGGCCUACCGCUUCGGGAGGGCUUCGCGGCCUAUCAGCUUGUUGGUGGGGUAACGGCCUACCAAGGCUACGACGGGUAGCUGGUCUGAGAGGACGACCAGCCACACUGGGACUGAGACACGGCCCAGACUCCUACGGGAGGCAGCAGUGGGGAAUCUUGCGCAAUGGGCGAAAGCCUGACGCAGCAACGCCGCGUGAGGGAUGAAGGUCUUCGGGUUGUAAACCUCUUUCGAGCAGGGACGAUUGUGACGGUACCUGCAGAAGAAGCUCGGCCAACUACGCGCCAGCAGCCGC
rnacentral:rRNA from 1 species